ensembl:lncRNA
UUUUGUUUUUGAGUAGAAGUUCUUGAUUAAUUCAUGUUUAUGUAUUUUUUAAAGUGUAAAGCAUUAAGAAUGUUCUCCUUUUCCUUGGGUUACAUUUUCUUCCACAUUCCAUGUUAUGUCCAAUUUUUUUUUUUUUUUCUUUUUAGGGCUGCCUCUGCAGCGUAUGGAGGUUCCCAGGCUAGGGCAAAAAAAAAAAAAAAUCCAUCCACUUAAACUCCAAUUCUAUUACUACAAAAUUUUUGACUACUACAACCAACUUAUUCUAAAACCCUUUCAAGUGCAGAUUAUAUUUUGUGAUUCUGUAACAAUUAUCCAAAUCAUCCUUGGCCUCAGUGUGCAUCUGUAAAUGGAAACUAGAUUGCAGUACCACACCCUACCCUUAAUGGCUAGCUGCAACUCCUCAGGGCAUUCAUCCAGACUGACAUACUCCAAUUUUGGAGUAUUGUAGUGGCCUCCAAGGUGCUUUAUGCGAGGACAUGAUGCAUCCUAACAGAACGUAUACUUUCCAAAAAGGACGUUGGCAAUUAGCCCUAAGGAAUUUUGAAGAAGUAAUACUCUCUUGAGGGAGAGCAGAGACAUUUCAAGGGAACACGGCUCAAGGCUGAGAUGUACAGGUCCCCUUUGCGAUAAGCAGGGCUUUUGUUUUAACCAUGGUAACAGCUAUAUAUAGUGAAUUAAGUAUGUGUUCCUUAUGGUAACCAUUUGCUGAUGAUAUCAGUUGUCCAAUACAACUAGAUAUGUCCUUCAGUCUAGGUGGUUAGGAGGUGACUGGAGGACAACCCCACACUCACACUUCCAUGGAGUCACAAGCAGUAGUAGUAUUAUUGUAUAGAGAGGAGCUAUACAGCUUGGGGCAAUGGGCAGAGACCUAAGUAAUCCAUAUGAGUAGAGGCACCCAGUACAACUGACAGCCUUGUAGAGAAGCAGCUGUCCUAGAGCUGACUCGGAGAAGAAGUGAGAAAAAGGAAAUUGAUCUUGACCAUGCGGGCUUGGCCUGAGAAUGACUGGAUGUUGAUAUCUGAGGGAUAUAUCAACUCAGGACUGCAAAAAGGUCAGGGAGAUAUAGACAAUUACAAUGAAAAGGACAUAUCCUUAUACAUCUUGAGUAAGGCAUUUCAUACCAGGGAAAUUAAAGCAUUAAAGACAAGGAUAGAAGUGUGAUCCAUACAGAGUUAUCUAUAGCAGUAAAAGCAAACAAAAAACAGAGCAUACAGGUCCAAAAUUAGAAGACUAGCUAACUAACUGUGGUUCUAAAGCCCACAAAAUUAUUAUAAACCACUGAAACUGGUAUUACACUGUUAAUACAAAUUUUUAUGAUGCUAUUUGGUACUUCAAAAAAUACAAAAUAAUACAAAUUUGUGGAUUCCAAUAAAUGCAUAUGAAAAGUAAUGUGAAAAAUGAAAACUGCAUAAGGUAAUGUUUUUAACAUUUAAUGUGUUGUUAUUAUAAAUUUGUCUUUAUACAAAUGAUAUAAAUGAGAGGUAGUAAAGGAGAAAACAACUUUGCUAAAGAUUGCAUUAUCAAGCAGACACUAGAAAUAUCUUGGCCCAGUACUUAGAUAAAUGGAAGCUUUCAGAGCACAGAAGGAAAAGCUCACCUCUCUUCCUAGAUACAAAAAUUGGCAAAUGCAAGGAAGAGUAUAAGGUUAUGCAGGCACACAUUCAGGUUGACAACAAGCAAAUGCAUCCUCUCUAAAUUAGCUCCCAGGGCUACUUUACAAUGUAUAUAAUAUUAUAGCAUUUGAGUGUAUGAUUUAUAAAUAUAUAAAUAAAUAUAUACUAUAAAAAACAGAACUUAACAUUCCUUUGACUCACUAGCUGGGUAACCAACCACAACUCAAGAGAGCUUUAAUUCCCUCAUUUACAAAAUAACAAGUUUGAACUAGAAGCUCUUUCUCAUUAAAUAUCAUAAAUUAUGGUGCAAAGGAGAGACAUGACCCAGUAUUUUAGGGAAGUGGAGUUAUGCUCCAUGUUUUUUGAGAUGUUUCAAAUUCCUUAAUUUUGCAACUCUGUAAUCUACACUAGUGAGAUGUUUCUCUGACAACAAAGAGGAAAGCAAAUCAAGCAGCUCUCAUUACUCUAAAGCAGCUAAGCAAAUUUUCCGUUAAGCACAUUUCAAAUAGAGGAUCCAAGCUAAGGCUUAAAUGAAACAAGAAAUAUGAGU